UACGUAGGGUGCAAGCGUUAAUCGGAAUUACUGGGCGUAAAGCGUGCGCAGGCGGUUAUGUAAGACAGGUGUGAAAUCCCCGGGCUUAACCUAGGAACUGCAUUUGUGACUGCAUAGCUAGAGUACGGUAGAGGGGGAUGGAAUUCCGCGUGUAGCAGUGAAAUGCGUAGAUAUGCGGAGGAACACCGAUGGCGAAGGCAAUCCCCUGGACCUGUACUGACGCUCAUGCACGAAAGCGUGGGGAGCAAACAGG
rnacentral:rRNA from 1 species